UCCUACGGGAGGCAGCAGUGGGGAAUUUUGGACAAUGGGCGCAAGCCUGAUCCAGCCAUGCCGCGUGGGUGAAGAAGGCCUUCGGGUUGUAAAGCCCUUUCGGCCGGGACGAAAGGGUCCGGGAUAACACCCUGGACUUCAUGACGGUACCGGCAGAAGAAGCACCGGCUAACUACGUGCCAGCAGCCGCGGUAAUACGUAGGGUGCAGGCGUUAAUCGGAAUUACUGGGCGUAAAGCGUGCGCAGGCGGUCUAUUAAGACAGGUGUGAAAUCCCCGGGCUUAACCUGGGAACUGCGCUUGUAACUGGUAGGCUUGAGUGUGGCAGAGGGGGGUGGAAUUCCACGUGUAGCAGUGAAAUGCGUAGAGAUGUGGAGGAACACCGAUGGCGAAGGCAGCCCCCUGGGCUAACACUGACGCUCAUGCACGAAAGCGUGGGGAGCAAACAGGAUUAGAUACCCUGGUAGUCCACGCCCUAAACGAUGUCAACUGGUUGUCGGGGAAGCAAUUCCUUGGUAACGAAGCUAACGCGUGAAGUUGACCGCCUGGGGAGUACGGCCGCAAGGUUAAAACUCAAAGGAAUU
rnacentral:rRNA from 1 species